UCCUACGGGAGGCAGCAGUGGGGAAUAUUGCACAAUGGGGGGAACCCUGAUGCAGCGACGCCGCGUGAAGGAAGAAGUAUUUCGGUAUGUAAACUUCUAUCAGCAGGGAAGAAAAUGACGGUACCUGACUAAGAAGCCCCGGCUAACUACGUGCCAGCAGCCGCGGUAAUACGUAGGGGGCAAGCGUUAUCCGGAUUUACUGGGUGUAAAGGGAGCGUAGGUGGCAUGGUAAGCCAGAAGUUCAA
rnacentral:rRNA from 1 species